UACAGAGGUCUCAAGCGUUGUUCGGAUUCAUUGGGCGUAAAGGGUGCGUAGGUGGCCAACUAAGUCGGACGUGAAAUCCCUCGGCUUAACCGGGGAACUGCGUCUGAUACUGGAUGGCUUGAGUUCGGGAGAGGGAUGCGGAAUUCCAGGUGUAGCGGUGAAAUGCGUAGAUAUCUGGAGGAACACCGGUGGCGAAGGCGGCGAUCCUGGACCGACACUGACGCUGAGAGCGAAAGCCAGGGGAGCAAACGGGGAUUAGAAACCC
rnacentral:rRNA from 1 species